rnacentral:rRNA from 1 species
GAUGAACGCUAGCUACAGGCCUUAACACAUGCAAGUCGAGGGGCAGCAUUUAGUUUGCUUGCAAACUAAAGAUGGCGACCGGCGCACGGGUGAGUAACACGUAUCCAACCUGCCGAUAACUCGGGGAUAGCCUUUCGAAAGAAAGAUUAAUAUCCGAUAGCAUAUUGAGAUCGCAUGAUUUUGAUAUUAAAGAAUUUCGGUUAUCGAUGGGGAUGCGUUCCAUUAGUUUGUUGGCGGGGUAACGGCCCACCAAGACUACGAUGGAUAGGGGUUCUGAGAGGAAGGUCCCCCACAUUGGAACUGAGACACGGUCCAAACUCCUACGGGAGGCAGCAGUGAGGAAUAUUGGUCAAUGGGCGAGAGCCUGAACCAGCCAAGUAGCGUGAAGGAUGAAGGUCCUACGGAUUGUAAACUUCUUUAUACGGGAAUAAAGUAUCCUACGUGUAGGAUUUUGUAUGUACCGUAUGAAUAAGCAUCGGCUAACUCCGUG